UUCACUCUGGAGUGAAACAGGAGAAUCAAAUGUCAUCCUAUAAAUGGUGGAGUCUACUUAAAUGAAGCAUCUCAAAAAAAUUUUGUCAAGCUGUGAUCAUCUUAUAAAGUUUCUAAGAACAAUAUCAAAGGAUAUUUUUGUCCAGUCAGUUCAUUCUCUAUAGCUAAGCACACAGUGAGAGAGAGAGAGAGGCAGAGACACAGGCAGAGGGAGAAGCAGGCUCCAUGCACCGAGAGCCCGACGUGGGACUCGAUCCCGGGUCUCCAGGAUCGCGCCCUGGGCCAAAGGCAGGC